rfam:TPA: Bos taurus chromosome 17, whole genome shotgun sequence.
UCUUUGGUUGUCCAGUGGUUAGGACUCCAUGCUUUCACUGCCUAGGACCCAGGUUCGAUCCCUGGUCGGGGAA